rnacentral:tRNA from 1 species
GGGCGUUUAGCGCAGUGGUAGCGCGUAUGCUUUGCAUCUACUGCCCCAAGCAGUGAAGAGUUGUAUAAGGUCCAGGGUUCAAUCCCCUGAACGUCCA